rnacentral:rRNA from 1 species
AACGAACGCUGGCGGCAGGCUUAACACAUGCAAGUCGAACGAGCUGGGGGCUUCGGUCCCCGAUGCUAGUGGCGCACGGGUGAGUAACACGUGGGAAUAUGCCCUUUAGUACGGAAUAACCAAGGGAAACUUUGGCUAAUACCGUAUACGCCCUUCGGGGGAAAGAUUUAUCGCUAAAGGAUUAGCCCGCGUCUGAUUAGGUAGUUGGUGAGGUAAUGGCUCACCAAGCCGACGAUCAGUAGCUGGUCUGAGAGGAUGAUCAGCCACACUGGGACUGAGACACGGCAGAGAGUACGACGGGAGGAAGCAGGGGGGAAUCUGGGAGAAUGGGGGAAACAGGGAUCGGGCCAGGCAGCGUGAGAGACGAAGGCCGUAGGGGGGUAAAGCUCUUGCAGCAGGGAAGAUAAUGACGGUACCAGAAGAAGAAGCAACGGCUAACUAAGUG